AACGAACGCUGGCGGCAUGCCUAACACAUGCAAGUCGAACGAGACCUUCGGGUCUAGUGGCGCACGGGUGCGUAACGCGUGGGAACCUGCCCUUAGGUUCGGAAUAACUCCCCGAAAGGGGUGCUAAUACCGGAUAAUGUCUUCGGACCAAAGAUUUAUCGCUCUUGGAUGGGCCCGCGUUGGAUUAGCUAGUUGGUAGGGUAAAAGCCUAUCAAGGCGACGAUCCAUAGCUGGUCUGAGAGGAUGAUCAGCCACACUGGGACUGAGACACGGCCCAGACUCCUACGGGAGGCAGCAGUGUGGUAUAUUGGACAAUGGGCGAAAGCCUGAUCCAGCAAUGCCGCGUGAGUGAUGAAGGCCUUAGGGUUGUAAAGCUCUUUUACCCGGGAUGAUAAUGACAGUACCGUGAGAAUAAGCUCCGGCUAACUCCGUG
rnacentral:rRNA from 1 species